CGCCGCCGCGGUAAUACGUAGGGUGCAAGCGUUAAUCGGAAUUACUGGGCGUAAAGCGUGCGCAGGCGGUUCGCUAAGACAGAUGUGAAAUCCCCGGGCUUAACCUGGGAACUGCAUUUGUGACUGGCGGGCUAGAGUAUGGCAGAGGGGGGUAGAAUUCCACGUGUAGCAGUGAAAUGCGUAGAGAUGUGGAGGAAUACCGAUGGCGAAGGCAGCCCCCUGGGCCAAUACUGACGCUCAUGCACGAAAGCGUGGGGAGCAAACAGGAUUAGAUACCCGCGUAGUCCCUGUCUCUUAUACA
rnacentral:rRNA from 1 species